rnacentral:rRNA from 1 species
UCGGGAAUUUUGGGCAAUGGGCGAAAGCCUGACCCAGCAACGCCGCGUGAGGGAUGAAGUAUUUCGGUAUGUAAACCUCGAAAGAAUGGGAAGAAUAAAUGACGGUACCGUUUAUAAGCUCCGGCUAACUACGUGCCAGCAGCCGCGGUAAUACGUAGGGAGCAAGCGUUGUUCGGAUUUACUGGGCGUAAAGGGCGCGUAGGCGGCGCGGUAAGUCACUUGUGAAAUCUCUGAGCUUAACUCAGAACGGCCAAGUGAUACUGCUGUGCUAGAGUGCGGAAGAGGCAACCGGAAUUCUUGGUGUAGCGGUGAAAUGCGUAGAUAUCAAGAGGAACACCUGAGGCGAAGGCGGGUUGCUGGGCCGACACUGACGCUGAUGCGCGAAAGCCAGGGGAGCAAACG